AAAUGUUCUCGGGGCGGGGUGUAAUUCCCCACCGGCGGUAUCAGGAGCAAUCCUGGAGCCCGCGAGCGCUUCCGGCACCUCCUGUCGGAAGGUCAGCAGAUCCGGUGAGAUGCCGGAGCCGACGGUAUAGUCCGGAUGGAAGAGGACAACA
rnacentral:ncRNA from 23 species